UUAAAUCCUAGAUGUGCACUUAAUAGAUCAAUGGUGAUCAUGCCCUACCUACAAAAGAGUUAGACAAAUACAAAGACAUAUUUUUGGUUUUUUGGUUAGUAAAAUUAUACUAUACAAGUAUGAUAUAAUCACAUGGUGCUUGGUGAUCUCUCCCAAAACAAACCCAAUGAAAGAGGGGUAAGGAGGAUGCCAAGUUAUGAUUCCA
rnacentral:lncRNA from 1 species